CAACGUGAAAGCUUUCUUUCAACAGUCAACCCAAGCAAAGAGACAUGGAAUCGCAGUUUAGAGAACACCCUAAUUCCCUCUCCUAAGUAAAUCCAUGCUUAACGUUGUUUUCAUAUGCUAGAAAUAGAUAGUUUUCUUUUUGUGGACAUUUUGCCAUGUAACAUUUCUUAACCACACCAGUGCUCUGUCCUUAGCCCACCUUCUCCAUGUCAGAAUUAAUAAUCAGCAGGACAGCUUUGGGCUCGAUUUCUUAGCAGCUUUAUAGUUUGUACAUAUAAACCUUACACGUCUAAAAAGGCUUUAAUCUGACUUAGAAUGAUUUAUGUGUAAAGUAUAGCGAGUGGAAAGACCAUUUUAGAAUGCCAAUGUACAUAGCAAUCUUGAAUUUAAUAGAGAGAGAGGGCACUAAUAAGAGAAGGACAGGAGAAUUUGAAAACAUUACAUGUGUUCAGAAAUGGCCAAUGGAAAGGCAUACAGACAUGGGGCUACAUGAAUAACGGGGAUGCAGAGAUGACUUUGGGGACAGGAUAGGAACAGGAAAUGGUAUGCAGAGUGACCAACAGGUAGAAGAAUGGAUACUAAAUUAGAACUAGCUCACAAGAUUUCUAAUAGAAGCCAUAUCUUUCAUAAUCAUCAUGACAUAAGUUUGCAGAAAAAUUGAGUUUAGUUGACUUAAACACUCAUGAUUACACUAUUGACCUCUAUGCCACAUAUUGUGAGAAUGUUUUUUGUUUGCUUAUUUUUUUUUUCCCAUUUGCC